rnacentral:rRNA from 1 species
CAGAGGGUGCAAGCGUUGUUCGGAAUUAUUGGGCGUAAAGCGCGUGUAGGCGGCUUUGCAAGUCGGGUGUGAAAGCCCUCAGCUCAACUGAGGAAGUGCGCCCGAAACUGCAGAGCUCGAGUGCCGAAGAGGGUGGCGGAAUUCCCCAAGUAGAGGUGAAAUUCGUAGAUAUGGGGAGGAAUACCGGUGGCGAAGGCGGCCACCUGGUCGGUAACUGACGCUGAGACGCGAAAGCGUGGGGAGCAAACAGGAUUAGAUACCCUGGUAGUCCACGCCGUAAACGAUGAGAACUAGGUGUCGUGGGAGUUGACCCCCGCGGUGCCGUAGCUAACGCAUUAAGUUCUCCGCCUGGGAAGUACGGCCGCAAGGCUA